GGUGAAAUUCUUGGACCGUCGCAAGACGGACAGAAGCGAAAGCAUUUGCCAAAAACGUUUUCAUUGAUCAAGAACGAAAGUUAGAGGUUCGAAGGCGAUCAGAUACCGCCCUAGUUCUAACCAUAAACGAUGCCAGCUAGCGAUCCGCCGACGUUCCUCCGAUGACUCGGCGGGCAGCUUCCGGGAAACCAAAGCUUUUGGGUUCCGGGGGAAGUAUGGUUGCAAAGCUGAAACUUAAAGGAAUUGACGGAAGGGCACCACCAGGAGUGGAGCCUGCGGCUUAAUUUGACUCAACACGGGAAACCUCACCAGGCCCGGACACCGGAAGGAUUGACAGAUUGAGAGCUCUUUCUUGAUUCGGUGGGUGGUGGUGCAUGGCCGUUCUUAGUUGGUGGAGCGAUUUGUCUGGUUAAUUCCGAUAACGAACGAGACUCUGGCCUGCUAACUAGGCGUAUUUCCGACAUCUCGAAGACCCGUCGGCUUGGUGUGCUCGUCACUCCUAGUCGUGCGCGGUUUUUACUGUCGGCGUACAAACAAUUCUUCUUAGAGGGACAGGCGGCUUCUAGCCGCACGAGAUAGAGCAAUAACAGGUCUGUGAUGCCCUUAGAUGUUCUGGGCCGCACGCGCGCUACACUGAAGGAAUCAGCGUGUCUUCCCUGGCCGAGCGGCCCGGGUAACCCGCUGAACCUCCUUCGUGCUAGGGAUUGGGGCUUGAAAUUGUUCCCCAUGAACGAGGAAUUCCCAGUAAGCGCGAGUCAUAAGCUCGCGUUGAUUACGUCCCUGCCCUUUGUACACACCGCCCGUCGCUACUACCGAUUGAAUGAUUUAGUGAGGUCUUCGGACCGGCACGCGGUGGCGUUUCUACGUCGCCGAUGCUGCUGGAAAGAUGACCAAACUUGAUCAUUU
rnacentral:rRNA from 1 species